CGCACAUUGCGCCCUCUGGUAUUCCGGAGGGCAUGCCUGUUCGAGCGUCAUUUCAACCCUCAAGCCUGGCUUGGUGAUGGGGCACUGCCUGUAAGAGGGCAGGCCCUGAAAUCCAGCGGCGAUCUCCACGGGAAGCUUAGCGCAGUAGUUUAUUCUCGCUACAGUACCCCCUGGGGCCCUGCCGUUAAACCCCCAACUCUGAAAAUUUGACCUCGGAUCAGGUAGGAAUACCCGCUGAACUUAA
rnacentral:misc_RNA from 1 species